AUACUUACCUGGACAGGGUCAAUGGGUUAUCAAGAAGGCUCAUGGGCUAGAUUGGUGACCUCCAUUGCACUUAGGAGGGGUGCCUAUCAAAGGUCUACCCUAGUGGUGGAGCCUACGUCAUAAUUUGUGAUAGUGGGGACUUGCGUUCGCACGGCCCCUAC